rfam:Salmo salar isolate Sally breed double haploid chromosome ssa01, whole genome shotgun sequence.
CCCUGUGUGGCUCAGUUGGUAGAGAGCAUGGUGCUUGCAAAGUCAUGGUUGUGGAUUCGAUUCCCACGGGGA